AAACUCAGUACAGCACACCUGCUAUAAAAAGGCUUCAAACACACACUCAAUAGCUUGGUUCACCCCUACCUCCUUCCAGACCAAUUGCUGCCUGGGAGCCUCAAGUGUCACCCAUGUUCAGAGUUUUAAAAACCAGUCAGGCUCUAGGAAUAACACUCUGCUCAGCUGAGGGUGUCAUCUUGUUUCUUUAAGACAAAUUCUUGGAUUGACCUGGAAGUCAUCAAGCAGGCUCCACUGGAUGGCCGGUUCAGUCCACCUCAGUGAGCUCUGAGUCCAUGAUGAGGCAGAGGGUCAUCAUGAGCAGCAUGUUGCUGAAGAAAGAAGCUGGAAGAAUAAAGAGAAGACAAGGGGAAGAAACAACACAUAGCUUCCCAGAGGCAUGCCCAUACUGGUUUACUUCCUUGGACCAUACUCUACCUUCUACUUUUUGUCACAUCCCAAUAAUGUCAUCUUAUAAUUAAUCUUUCAAGAGAUUAAUCCAUUGAAUAAAUCAGAGCCUAUAGAAUCCAAGGGUUUCUCAAAAGCCCAAGAGCUAGAAAACCUA
rnacentral:lncRNA from 1 species